ACUAUCACCGUCCACCGUCGGAGGCUUGAAGAAAAUUCUACCAUUCGCGGAUGAACGAGGCUGAAGGAGACUGACGCCUCCGGUUGAAACCGGUCGUGGAACAAGAAUAUCCAAUUCUGAACCGUUUGUAGUCGAGAGACAAAGAAUGUGUUUGCCCGUUCGCGGAUGGGGACCAGGGCGAGAAAGCUUGUUCAUGUCUUGCCCGCACACGGAUGACAAUGGUGAAGGCCACGACCGUCUACGGUUGAGACCAGAAACACAUGGCAAACAUCAGUUAAAACGCUGAAUGAAUUGUAGGGCAUUUUUAAUGAAGGGAUACGAGAUUUUAGGUGGAGAACUCUCUGCUAGGGUGUGAAAACACUUAAAAUGCGAGCUAGGGCUCCUUAUUUGGGGAUCUGGUCACACAUAAGUGCUGGAGAUGGCUGAAGAUGGAGUUGAAGAGCACAUGUUCUGAUCUGGGAGGAACGAUCACUGAUCUAGAUCCCGCAAUGGAAGAAAAUAAGAGUAAUUGGCAUACGCUAAUAACCUUGUUCAAUUCGUUGGCUUUUGAUAAUCACAAAGACACCCAUUAGUCA